GGGGGAAUUUUGCGCAAUGGGGGAAACCCUGACGCAGCAACGCCGCGUGGAGGAUGAAGUCCUUCGGGACGUAAACUCCUUUCGAUCGGGACGAUUAUGACGGUACCGGAAGAAGAAGCCCCGGCUAACUUCGUGCCAGCAGCCGCGGUAAUACGAGGGGGGCGAGCGUUGUUCGGAAUUAUUGGGCGUAAAGGGUGCGUAGGCGGUUUUGUAAGUCUUAUGUGAAAUCUAUGGGCUCAACUCAUAGACUGCAUGAGAAACUGCAGGGCUUGAGUAUGGGAGAGGUGAGUGGAAUUCCUGGUGUAGCGGUGAAAUGCGUAGAUAUCAGGAGGAACACCUGUGGCGAAAGCGGCUCACUGGACCAUAACUGACGCUGAUGCACGAAAGCUAGGGGAGCAAACAGGAUUAGAUACCCUGGUAGUCCUAGCCCUAAACGAUGAUUGCUUGGUGUGAUCGGUACCCAAUCCGAUCGUGCCGCAGCUAACGCGAUAAGCAAUCCGCCUGGGGAGUACGGUCGCAAGGCUG
rnacentral:rRNA from 1 species